UAGGCAUCAGAGAAUCGGCUUCCUGUGU
rnacentral:piRNA from 1 species